GUACACUCCUACGGGAGGCAGCAGUGGGGAAUAUUGCACAAUGGGCGCAAGCCUGAUGCAGCCAUGCCGCGUGUAUGAAGAAGGCCUUCGGGUUGUAAAGUACUUUCAGCGGGGAGGAAGGCAAUACGGUUAAUAACCGUGUUGAUUGACGUUACCCGCAGAAGAAGCACCGGCUAACUCCGUGCCAGCAGCCGCGGUAAUACGGAGGGUGCAAGCGUUAAUCGGAAUUACUGGGCGUAAAGCGCACGCAGGCGGUCUGUCAAGUCGGAUGUGAAAUCCCCGGGCUCAACCUGGGAACUGCAUUCGAAACUGGCAGGCUUGAGUCUUGUAGAGGGGGGUAGAAUUCCAGGUGUAGCGGUGAAAUGCGUAGAGAUCUGGAGGAAUACCGGUGGCGAAGGCGGCCCCCUGGACAAAGACUGACGCUCAGGUGCGAAAGCGUGGGGAGCAAACAGGAUUAGAUACCCCAGUAGUCCCAUGAU
rnacentral:rRNA from 1 species